GCUGGUUUUUAGAACAAGAUAAAUUUACAGCAGUUUGACACUCACAGCUACUGGCAAACUCCACUCGGAGGUGUGAUAUUUUCAACAUUCACAAAAGUCCUUUGUUUUGUGACUACUUCUUUCUCAUCAAGUUUUAACCUAAUGGGAUAAAUUAACCAGAAGAUAGCCAGCUGAUAUCAUUCUCAAUUCUUCACAAUGUGAUUUUAGAGUGCUUUUACACAACAGCAACUUAGCUGCAUCUGCACAGAAAAAGCAGGAAGGAAGAGGUUCCCGUCACCUGGUGACAAUAACUUUCUCUUAA